rnacentral:tRNA from 1 species
AGCUUUAUAGUCAUAUAAUGAUAUUAGACUGCAAUUCUAAAGGAGUAGUUUAUAACUACUAAGGUUU